rnacentral:rRNA from 1 species
GUGGAACACGCCCUCCCUUCGGGGCCGAAGCACAGGUGCUGCAUGGCUGUCGUCAGCUCGUGUCGUGAGAUGUUGGGUUAAGUCCCGCAACGAGCGCAACCCUCGUCCUUAGUUGCCAUCGGUUCGGCCGGGAACUCUAAGGAGACUGCCGGUGAUAAGCCGGAGGAAGGUGGAGAUGACGUCAAGUCCUCAUGGCCUUUAUGCCCUGGGCAACACACGUACUACAAUGGGCGUUACAAAGGGUCGCGAACCCGCGAGGGGGAGCUAAUCCCAAAAAGGCGCCCCCAGUUCUGAUUGGAGGCUGCAAUUCGCCCCCAUGAAGCUGGAAUCGCUAGUAAUCGCGGACCAGCACGCCGCGGUGAAUACGUUCCCGGGCCUUGUACACACCGCCCGUCAAGUCACGAAAGCCGACUGCACCCGAAGUCGUUUUGCUAACCCGCAAGGGAGGCGGACGCCCAAGGUAUGGUGGGUGAUUGGGACUAAGUCGUAACAAGGUAGCCGU